rnacentral:lncRNA from 1 species
AGUGGUGCACCUGUGUUUCACGCCGCCAAGAUACAGUAGAAACACGCCAGAAAUUUACCUGAACACCUUUCAGCAGACCACCACGCCCAUCAGCCUUAAUAUAUUCCUAAACUCCAAUGCUGUUUUAAUGAUGUGUGCACAAAGCGUGAAAAUAUGUGUGACCACACUUCCCCCACCCUCACUCUACUCAGCCCUGGAUUCUCACAAUACUGUGUAAAAACAGCUCCAACACCAUCAUCAAAUUUGUUGCGUUAUCAUCAAAAAUGUUGAGCAUUUAAGCGUAUUUUGUUUUUUGAGUUCUGACUCACGAUCUGUAGUUACAUAAACAUUACUGAACAUACUGAACAUUACUAUAAUAGUCCUGACUGUGAAUUAAGAUCCUUAUAAUACUGUCUGUGGCUCUUAUAUAUUUUUAUAACAUACUAACACUACCAGUCAAAAGUUUGGACACCCCUUUUCAUUCAGUGUUUUUAUUUUUUUCCUACAUUUUAAAUUAAAACUGAAGUCAACCAGAUUAUAAAGGAACACAUAAGUGUGAAUGAAUGAAGUUCAACUUAUAGAGCGCCUUUCUAGAAACCCAAGGGCGCUUUACAAUGUACACAUUUUACACACAAGCACAUUAUUACACAUCAACACUCAUCCACACACCGGUGAGAAACGGCAGCCAAUAGCGCACAGCGUACUCUCAACUGGAAACGACCGUCCACCUGGAGGACUACAUAGGGCACUACAGCCUUUACCCAGGACAGAGUGCCAAUCCAUAUCUGGGCACAGUCAUACACACAUUUACACCUCUCCUGUUCCUCCACCCUUUCUAUCCUCCCACCAGAGAGAGAGAGAGAGAGAGAGAGACAGGGCAGAGGAUCUGAUUAUCUCCUAAAAGCCUAAUCUGGAUCUGUAGGCAGGGACAGCAGACAAUUUGAAGAUGGAAAUUGGAUUUUUGAAAGGGUUGCUUUACGCGUUACAUGGCGUCCUCUUUUUGAAUGGAUUUGGUCUGAUGACGGUGGGGACCUGGGUGAAGGCCGACAGCGACACCGUCGUAAAUUUCUUACAGCAUCUGAACAGUGCGCCGGGCGAGCUGAAGAAGGCUCUGAACGUGGGCUACCCUAUGAUCAUUCUGGGCUCGCUUCAGAUGAUAAUGAGCAUUUGGGGCUGCUGGGCUUCCAGAAAGUAUUGGAUAAUAAAAAUUUCUAAAAAAAAAAAAAGUUCUGAUAUACUCUCCUUUCUUUCUGUCAGCAUCUUUAAAGUCCAUUCAGUUCACACGUUCCUGUGGAAGUGCUUCAAAGGAAUCGACCAUUAACCAAUCGACCAAUCAACACAAUGAAGGUUUACACAUAUGGAAGGUUUGGAUCAACAGUCAUCAACUGUUGCUGAAGGU